GAUGAACGCUAGCUACAGGCUUAACACAUGCCAGUCGAGGGGCAGCAUGGUCUUAGCUUGCUAAGGCCGAUGGCGACCGGCGCACGGGUGAGUAACACGUAUCCAACCUGCCGUCUACUCUUGGACAGCCUUCUGAAAGGAAGAUUAAUACAAGAUGGCAUCAUGAGUCCGCAUGUUCACAUGAUUAAAGGUAUUCCGGUAGACGAUGGGGAUGCGUUCCAUUAGAUAGUAGGCGGGGUAACGGCCCACCUAGUCUUCGAUGGAUAGGGGUUCUGAGAGGAAGGUCCCCCACAUUGGAACUGAGACACGGUCCAAACGCCUACGGGAGGCAGCAGUGAGGAAUAUUGGUCAAUGGGCGCAGGCCUGAACCAGCCAAGUAGCGUGAAGGAUGACUGCCCUAUGGGUUGUAAACUUCUUUUAGAAAGGAAUAAAGUCGGGUAUGUAUACCCGUUUGCAUGUACUUUAUGAAUAAGGAUCGGCUAACUCCGUG
rnacentral:rRNA from 1 species